UACGAAGGGGGGCUAGCGUUGUUCGGAAUUACUGGGCGUAAAGCGCACGUAGGCGGAUUUGUAAGUCAGGGGUGAAAUCCCGGGGCUCAACCUCGGAACUGCCUUUGAUACUGGGUAUCUUGAGUAUGGAAGAGGUAAGUGGAAUUGCGAGUGUAGAGGUGAAAUUCGUAGAUAUUCGCAGGAACACCAGUGGCGAAGGCGGCUUACUGGUCCAUUACUGACGCUGAGGUGCGAAAGCGUGGGGAGCAAACGGGG
rnacentral:rRNA from 1 species